GGGGCGGUAGCUCAGUUGGUAGAGCGCAUCGUUCGCAAUGAUGAGGUCAGGAGUUCGAAUCUCCUUCGCUCCA
rnacentral:tRNA from 2 species